rnacentral:antisense_RNA from 1 species
GAAGGCCUGCAGCUUGUCCUAGAACCAUGCAAGAGGGACCAUUGAAGCUGAAGGUGGAUUGCUGUUGGGUGGAAAGGAUGUAGUCACUCAAAAAUGCUGCCAGAAGAAGAGCAAGAGAAAAGAACAAUAGCUUCUCCCGUGAGACAAUCUCAUCCCUCCACUAGUGUCUUCUCUUGGAAUGAUCUAUGGUGCUCUGAGUGGGUACAAAACAUGAUGGCAAGUGUAUGGUGCUGAAUCAAGGUAAAAGAGGAAAUGAUUAUGUACUCACAGAGGGUGGAACAUAAAGGUGAUUGGAAAGAAUCAGGAUGUCAGAUUGUGUUGGAUUAGUCUUCCAGCCUUCACUGAGGUCUACAGUAUAGACACUGGAUUAGCUUAAAUUGAACGUUCUGCAAAUAAGAGAAGGUCAUGAGAUACCUGAUAUUCUUGUCCAAGAGGAUGUGGUAUCUACAUAUAGGAGGAAAGAUGUACGUGUACAUGUGGUGGCUGAACCAUUUGAUUGUGGAUCAGGAUACAUAAGCAGCAAGUUCAAAGACUGAAGGAACAAGGAAUAUCAGCUCAUAAAGAUGAGAAAGAAUCAGAGCAAGAACUCUGGCAACUCAAAAGCCAGAGUGUCUUCUUACCUCCAAACAACCAUAUUAUUUCGUUAGCAACGAUUCUUAACCAGACUGAGAUUGCUGAAGUA